AACGAACGCUGGCGGCAGGCCUAAUACAUGCAAGUCGAACGGAUGUAGCAAUACAUUAGUGGCGCACGGGUGCCUAACGCGUGGGAACAUACCCUUGAGUAAGGAAUAAUGUCUGGAAACGGACACUAAUACCUUAUAAUGACUUCGGUCCAAAGAUUUAUCGCUCAAGGAUUGGCCCGCGUCUGAUUAGCUAGUUGGUGAGGUAACGGCUCACCAAGGCGACGAUCAGUAGCUGGUCUGAGAGGAUGAUCAGCCACACUGGGACUGAGACACGGCCCAGACUCCUGCGGGAGGCGGCAGUAAGGAAUAUUGGAAAAUGGGGGAAACCCUGAUCCAGCCAUGCCGCGUGAGUGAAGAAGGCCUUAGGGUUGUAAAGCUCUUUCAAUAGUGAAGAUAAUGACGGUAGCUAUAGAAGAAGCCCCGGCUAAAUUCGUGCCAGCAGCCGCAGUAA
rnacentral:rRNA from 1 species